rnacentral:ncRNA from 3 species
AGACCCUGUUGAGCUUGA